rnacentral:misc_RNA from 1 species
GAUGAAGAACGUAGCGAAAUGUGAUAAGUAAUGCGAAUUGCAGAAUCCGUGAGUCAUCGAAUCUUUGAACGCACAUUGCGCCCCUUGGUUAUUCCGAAGGGCAUGCCUGUUCGAGCGUCAUUAUCACCCCUCAAGCCCUGGCUUGGUGUUGGACUUUAGUUAUAGCUUUGCCUAUCAACUGGUCUCAAAGAUAGUGACGGCGCCCCAGAGGGAACCGGGUACGAGGAGCUUUUUACUAAGCAUGUAUCUGGGACGACUCUGGGCGACGGUCUUGUUAUACUUUUUACCUAAGUGUUGACCUCGGAUCAGGUAGGAAUACCCGCUGAACUUAAGCAUAUCAAUAAGCGGAGGA